CCCUUCGUAGUUCAAUGGACAGAACGAGUGCCUCCUAAGUGCUAGAUACAGGUUCGAUUCCUGUCGAAGGGACCA
rnacentral:tRNA from 1 species